rnacentral:miRNA from 1 species
UGUGGAGAAGGGCAUUUCCUGAGGAUUAGUGGCCAGCUGGGAAGAAGAUGAUGUCCUGAGGUGCAGCUGUGGGUUGUAAACCCCCAGCUGGCCAUUAAUCCAGAGGAAGUAUACUGGGCUGGGUUUACU